AGUGAACGCUGGCGGUAGGCCUAACACAUGCAAGUCGAACGGCAGCACAGUAAGAGCUUGCUCUUACGGGUGGCGAGUGGCGGACGGGUGAGGAAUACAUCGGAAUCUACUUUUUCGUGGGGGAUAACGUAGGGAAACUUACGCUAAUACCGCAUACGACCUACGGGUGAAAGCAGGGGAUCUUCGGACCUUGCGCGAUUGAAUGAGCCGAUGUCGGAUUAGCUAGUUGGCGGGGUAAAGGCCCACCAAGGCGACGAUCCGUAGCUGGUCUGAGAGGAUGAACAGCCCCACUGGAACUGAGACACGGUCCAGACUCCUACGGGAGGCAGCAGUGGGGAAUAUUGGACAAUGGGCGCAAGCCUGAUCCAGCCAUACCGCGUGGGUGAAGAAGGCCUUCGGGUUGGAAAGCCCUUUUGUUGGGAAAGAAAAGAAGCAGGUUAAUACCCCGCUGUUCUGACGGUACCCAAAGAAUAAGCACCGGCUAACUUCGUGC
rnacentral:rRNA from 1 species